rnacentral:rRNA from 1 species
AGAGUUUGAUCCUGGCUCAGGACGAACGCUGGCGGCGUGCCUAAUACAUGCAAGUCGAACGCUUCUUUCCUAUCGAGUGCUUGCACUCACUUGGAAAGAGGAGUGGCGGACGGGUGAGUAACACGUGGGUAACCUGCCCAUCAGAGGGGGAUAACACUUGGAAACAGGUGCUAAUACCGCAUAACAGUCAACACCGCAUGGUGUUGGAUUGAAAGACGCUUUCGGGUGUCGCUGAUGGAUGGACCCGCGGUGCAUUAGCUAGUUGGUGAGGUAACGGCUCACCAAGGCCAUGAUGCAUAGCCGACCUGAGAGGGUGAUCGGCCACACUGGGACUGAGACACGGCCCAGACUCCUACGGGAGGCAGCAGUAGGGAAUCUUCGGCAAUGGACGAAAGUCUGACCGAGCAACGCCGCGUGAGUGAAGAAGGUUUUCGGAUCGUAAAACUCUGUUGUUAGAGAAGAACAAGUGGGAGAGUAACUGUUCCCGCCUUGACGGUAUCUAACCAGAAAGCCACGGCUAACUACGUGCCAGCAGCCGCGGUAAUACGUAGGUGGCAAGCGUUGUCCGGAUUUAUUGGGCGUAAAGCGAGCGCAGGCGGUUUCUUAAGUCUGAUGUGAAAGCCCCCGG